AUGAAGACCGCAGCAGCCGCGCCUGCGGCGGUGAAGCUGUACCGCGGCGUGCGGCAGCGGCACGGGUGCAAGUGGGUGGCGGAGAUCCGGCUGCCGCGCAACCAGACCAGGCUCUGGCUCGGAACCUUCGACACCGCCGAGGAGGCUGCUCAUGCUUACGACCAGGCCGCCUGCCGCCUCCACGGGGACGCCGCGCGGCUCAACUUCCCGGACAAGGCCGCCUCGUCGCGGCCCCCCCUCAACGCUGCCGUUGAUGCCAAGCUCCAGGUCAUCUCCCGCACCAUCGCCGCGUCCAAGAAUCAUACUCCAAGGCCACGCCAAUAA
rnacentral:rRNA from 1 species